UGAACCUGGAUCUCCUGCUUAUAAAGCAUAUGAUCUAACCACUGCGCCACGGCCGCACAAUAUUUGGCAUAACUUUUUUGUGAAUCAAGAAGCUCGUUUUGAUCAGAUUAGAAAAUUAAAAGGUUUAAAGAAAGAUAAGCGCUAGAAAAAGAAUGAGCUAAAACAAAAGAAGGCAGAGACACCAACAAAAAGCUUUGAAGUUAAUGAUAGUGAAGAGGAGGCAGAUAAUUAUAAAAAUCUUUGCAGCUAAAGACAGUGAAGAAUCGAGUCGAAGUACUGUAGCCAGCUGGGCUACGCUCACUGGAUGAAUUGCAAAUUAAAACUGAUUUAAUACAAAGACGGCAU
rnacentral:lncRNA from 1 species